rnacentral:rRNA from 1 species
GGAAUAACAGAUAAAUACUUUCUUUAAUUUAAUAAUUAAAUUUAUUAUUUUUUGUGCAGAAACAAAAAUAAAAAUUAAGGACAAGAAGACCCUAAGAAUUUUAAUUCGAUUUAAAUAAUUUAUAUUUUAAAAUCAAAUUUAAUUGGGGCGAUUGAAAAAUAUUUUCAACUUUUUUUAAAAAAAAAUAUGAACCAUUAAUAAUGGUAAUAUGAAAAAAAUACUCUAGGGAUAACAGCGUAAUAAUUUUUGAUAGUUCAUAUAGACAAAAUAGUUUGCGACCUCGAUGUUGGAUUAGGAUACUAAUUUAAUGAAAAAGUUAAAUUGAGAAGUUUGUUCAACUUUUAAAUUCCUACUUGAUCUGA